rfam:Triticum urartu cultivar G1812 contig1237803, whole genome shotgun sequence.
CUUGUACCCCCUCCGUUCAAAAAUACUUGUCAUCAAAAUGGAUAAAAAGAGAUGUAUCUAGAACUAAAAUACAUCUAGAUACAUCCUCUUUUCUCCAUUUUGAUGACAAGUAUUUCCGGACGGAGGGAGUAGGAA